UACUUUUAUUAUUUUUUUUUUACUUUUCUGUGAAGGUUCAAAUAGUAACUAUUUUAAGCUUUCCAGGCCAUAUAGUUAUAAGUAUUUAACACUACACAACACUCAACUAGUAAUGUGAAAGCAGCUACAGGCAAUACUAAACAAGUGGGUGUGACAGUGUUCCAAUAAAAUUCUAUUUGCAAAUAUAGGUGGAGGGCCAGAUUUGACCUGUAGAUCUUUGUCUGCUGACUCCUGCUCUAAUAUUUCUAUACUGAAAACCUAUGACUUGCAUAAUUAAGAAAUAUAAACACUUGGGAGUUCCCUUCAUGGCCCAGCAGUUAACAAAACCAACUAGGAUCCAUGAGGAUGCAAGUUCGAUCCCUGGCCUCGCUCAAUGGAUUAAGGAUCCAGCUUUGCUGUGGCUGUGUGCUGGAUCCUUAACACACUGAGCAAGACCAGGAAUCGAAUCUUCAGCCUCAUGGUUCCUAGUCAGAUUCAUUUCCACUGUGCCACAAUGGGAACUCCUGACUCUGCCAAGAUUAAUAACUGCUAUUAACAGUGUCAUAUCUUAUAAUCUAGAAUGAAAAUGCACACCCUAAAAGGCAUUAAUUGAUCCCAGCUCUCUAGUAACAACAGAAUAACCUUGAGAAUCUUGGGAAAAGCUUCUGAUAAAUUCAGCAUGGUAUCAUUGAGUGACCAUUACUUGGUUUUCCACUUCACUGGAUUUAGUCUCUCCUAAUUUGUUUCUGCUAACAGGGCAGGGACCUUUUGGGAGAAGAGGAUGUUGUGAGCAGCUCCAUAGAAUUUUACCUUCUGUGCAGCAAACUCUGGGGAAUGCCCAGCACUGUUCUUAUUUCUCUGAGGGUAAAAGACUGACCAGACUUCCAAAAUGCUUCUUAGGUUCUGGCUACAUUCACUGGCCCCAACUGUCUCUUCUAAAGUGAGUCUCUCUACUCAGCAGGUUUUCUGUGAAGGAAACACUAAAUGUGGCAGAAAUUGUCUUCCUAUUGGAGAACAGUGGGAAAGCAGGUGUUUGAAUGUGGGAAUGUCAGAGCUCAGAGUGCAGGCAAUUAUUCUCCCCCACGUAGCUCAGCAUGGAAGAGAAUAAGCAAGAAAAAGGCAGGUAGCUGCUCUCCCCUGGGUGUCAUGGGCAGCUGUGAUGAGAGGGCGCCCCAUACACCUGGGCACAUGCACCUUGUUGUGGCCCCACAGGCCUCAUGGACCAGUGCCCAGAAUUCUGAGACGCACUGUAGUGGCCUGUUCCAGGAAGGAGCUGGAAGGGCUGAUCACUUCUGGACUCCUUUCAGGAGUUGGAGGUGAAACCAGGAAGAUAAUGUUUAGGCAUCUUCCCCAGCAGGGAUAUUUUUAAAAUCAAGAUUAACUCAGGAAUAACAUUAUAUCCCCUCCCCUUUGGCACUCAUUCAUCAACAUUCAAUUUUUACCCAAAUCAAGAGAUACAACUGAUGGUCAUCUGUUUCAUUUUAUAUUAUCUAAGCCCAAAGAUGGAGCCCCAAACAGCUUAUCUAGUGAGAAUGGGAAGGGAGAAUGGGAAGGGUCUUAACACAGUGACUUUCACCCAGGUUUCCCUCAAGGAAGGGAAAAGCUAUUAAUUCAGGCUUCCCAGGAACAUACACUGUCAAAUCCGGGUGGACCUUGAUGAUAAGGAAGGUUCAGGCUCCUCUUAGAGCACUCCUGUGUGAGGACUCCCUCUCCUCCUCUGCCCUUUGCACAAUGUGGCAUAGAAAGAGUUAAAAGAUUCUAACAGAGGCCUAAGUGAAAGGGUACUGUAUUGACCAAAGGAAGUGGGGUUUUUAAUACAUACAACUGUCAUUUAUUUGUGACUAGGCAGUACUAAACUGGAUGGGAGUUUUUGAGAACUCCUUUGUUUCAAAGCCAAAAAUGAGAACUCCACUGGGGCCUACUGGGUUUCGAUUCCUAAUUAUGUUAGUGACU
ensembl:lncRNA